CCGGCUCGGGGCUGGAGCGCAUCCGGAGCCGCCGGUGGUGGUGUUGCGCUGCCGGCUUUAAGGAAUUCAUCGGGGCUCUCCGCUGCCCGUGGAAAUGUCUGUGCGUCCUCCUCCUCCUCUUCCCAGCCCAGUGCCUCACCAGGACCCUGAACAUCAGCAUAGGAACAGGAGGUCCAAAUGCUGUUCCUAAUCAAAGGCAAGAUGCGGCUGCUUGCAAGCACGGGUAGUUACACGCUGCACAGGCGCUGUGCACGGCACUGCAUGCACGGUCCUUCCUCCACUUUCCCUGCAGUGGAAGUUCAGAGAUGUAGAAGAAGACUCAACAAGUGAUGGAGAAGUGUGUUCAGAGUCGUGGGGUUUUCACUUUAAAGACAGUACCGGUUUAGAGUUGUGUGACAAAUAAUAACAGUACAUAAAAACAAAAUAUUUGGCAACACUCCAUCUUGAAAGCUCGAUAGGGAAAAAAAAAAAGUAAACCAACACUGCUUCCGAGGAGUGUCCUAAUGAGUAUAGCAGGAACCAGUUACCCGUUUACACUUUAUGGAAAUGGUUAUUUACACUAUGUCUAAAGCUACUAAAGCUAGGCCUUUUAAAGCUGCUAUUGGUGAGAUGGAACCUAAAGUCUCUGGCUGUUUUUUUUAAAGAAAUCAAGUUAUGACCUCUGGGCAAAAGGCUUGUACCAGCUUAUAUGGUAUCCUAUCUCCUCAUUGAAAAGGGAUUCACAUGGAAAAGAAGGCUAAGUUCCAGGUAUGUGGCAGUAAGCCCUCAACCUACUCUUUUCAAAAACAGUCUGUUGCCAGUAAGAUGUCAUGAUUAACUUCAUUUGCACCAUUCUUUUUAAUUACUGGAUAAAGGCAUACAAGUCCAGAAUACACAGGUCCUGUCUCAAAGACGUGAGCUGUGCUUCAUGUCAGGAAUAGCUCUCUUCCCUUAUGGACUCCCAAGUAAAACACCUGCAGGUGUGGUGAGCUGGAACUUGGAAAAGCCAAAACUGCAAAACCGAAAGGCGCACACGUGCACCUACAUAGCCCGGUUUUCAGACAUGUUGAGCACGUUCGUUGUGUCUAUGGCUGCUGAGCAACCCUGAAACUUAAGCAGGUGAGUAUGAAUUAGAUGCUGAACUACAC
rnacentral:lncRNA from 1 species